GUGUGGUGUCUCCCUCCAACACAGGGAGCUCCAGGCAUGCAGGGCAGACCUCCUCCAUGUCAGUAUCCUGAGUGCCUGGCACAGUGCCCACCAUGGAGUAGGCACUCAAUAAACUGUGUAGAACUCAAACAAGCUAAAAGAAGACUAUAUGCUUUGUACACACUGGAAUUCCUUAAUAUUUCAAAAUGGAAAUCUGAGUUCUGAAAAAAAAAUCAAGGUUUUAAGAGCCAACACAGAAUCUGGAACCAUCGAGCAAUGCAUCAAGUUCUCUUUCUCUGCAUCCAGUUCUUCUGGGGCUUAAAAAAAAAAAAAUACUGAUGGCCAGACUCCAUCCCUGGCAAUUAUGAUGUAAUAGAUCUGCAGUGGGCCUGGGCAGUGUUAGGUAUUAAAAGGUCUAAGGUGCAGCCAGGAUUGAGACCCUCUGCCAUAGCUCAGAGGGGUCCACCACAUUGUAAAGAGUUCCCAGUCUAAGCGGUGCUGGAAGUCAGAGAACUGGUUUACAGGAAUGCGGAGAGAUGGUCCCCCUCAGCUGGCCUCAAGUCCAGGCCUGGCUGCCUCCAGCUUCUUUGGGCCACAGGUCCAGCACACCGGGAGCAGCCAGAGGCUCUGAACGUGUGGAGAAAGGGGUUUUCAUGGUCAAGCAGGAUGAUGUCAGCCAGAGUCAGAGUCUGAGGCCUUCUGCCCUUGAAAGGACCCCAAGGUCACCUGGGUUGUCUAUACAACUUACCACAUGUCAGCCUCCAGGCCCAGGGGCUCGUAGUUCACAAUUUCUGGAGCUGAAAGAAGCCAUAUUGAAGAAUCAGCAGGAGUAUGAAAACGAGAAGAGACGGUGAUAGGGAAUUUUAGGGAGUUUGGUGACAAAUGUCUCCCUCCUGAAUCCUCACUAAGGAAAAAUCAGAACAACAGAUGGAGAUAAUCUGGGUCUAAGAAUUUUGAGAAAUGAAGUUGCCUGUUAUCCUGGUAGAAAUAUUUUACAAAGAGGCCUUAAUAGUGAGGAAGAAGGAAAGGACAGAGGGAUGCCUGGAAGAGGAAGAGGAGGGUGGGGUAAGGAAGAUGCCAGAAGGGGACAUGGGGCCUGACAACAAGGCUUGCUUUAGAAGUCUCUGGUGGAAAACAGUCAGGUCAGCGCUGGAAGGUCAUAACGAAGAAAAGAAGGCAGAGAGGGAAUCCACGUUCCUGAAUCUGGUCUGAAAGAGGGACACCUCCUCCCUGAGAAGAAUGACAACAAUCUGGGGCCAAUGAGAUGAUGAACCUGAGGUGCCCGAGGGGCAUCCAGGCAAAGAUGCCCCGGGUAUGGGAGAGCGACUUGGAGCCAUCAAAUCUGGAGUCAUCGUACAGGUGGAAACGGGAGCUGUGUGGGUGAUGUGGUGACCAAGAGUGGGUGCAGAGUCUAGGAAAGAACAGUCUACCCAGGACAGAAGAGGACCAAAUGCCACCCAAAGAUCAAGCAGGCAAGCACUUAGAAAGUGGGUGGUGUCCAGAGGUGCCCUGACUGUGGGAAGUAGAGAUAAGGGUGUAGACAAUGCUACAAAAAAAGCUUGGUCAUGAAACUGAGGAGAAAAAGAGGGGAAUAGCUAGAGAAGGGAGAAGGACUGAGCCUGUUUAAUCAUAAUGGAAAAAGGGAGAGGGUGGGAAAGGCUACACUGGUGCAUCUAGAACAAUGUUAAAACUACUGCAUCUGUAGCAUGUGACCACCAUCCCCCUCCCCCUCUCUAAUUAGAGACACAAGGAACCACUUUUCUGGUUUUGCUUAUUUUUUAGCUUCAUUAAAACGAUGUCAUCCCGGAGAUAAUGUAGUCACUUGAUCCCCCCACCCUCUAACAUUAUGCUUCUAGUGUUCACUGAAUGUUCAUACAUGGUCUUUCAUUUUCACUGCUAUGUAAUAGUCCACUGUGUUAAUAUGUAUCAUCUUUCAGUCAUUGUCCUCUCAGUGAUCAUUUGGAUGGUUUCCACUUCUAUUCUUAUCAGAACAACAUUGCUAUGAACUUUUUGGCACAAGUCUCCUCACAAACAUGAAAGACAUUCUCUAGCACGGUGACUCAAAGUGUGGUCUGAAGACAAAGAGUCGCUGGUCCAGACACAAUAGGUCCAGAAAUGGGGAGUAAGCUUUUAGAAACUCGUACAGCAAUAUGUCAUUGCCAUGACAUUCAAAUUGUGAUGAUUUUUCUAGGGAUUUAUUUUUCUUGUGUCUUUAAUGAAGAAGCAGUCCAGGACAGAUUGAAGAAAAAAAAAUUUUAAGUCUUUCACCAUAGAGAGUUUGAGAAGCACAACUCACUUUCCAGGCUUAUCUGUUUGAUACACAUAUACACUCACUUCUGUUCUCUAUGUGCAUUUGCUUGUCUAUUUUCUUCUGUGCUUUUCUUCUUCUUUCUUCGUGUUUUUUAUUUUAUUACUUCUCUUACUGUUUUCCUUUCCUACUUACAUUUUUGUAAUGGCCACCCUUGAGACUUUAGGAUGGCUAUCUAACAAAUUCUAACAUAAGCAAUCUUUGACUCUCCUCUAAUAAUACAAGAGCCUUAGAACACUCAUUUCAAGAACUCCUUCCUAUCUAACAUUAUUUUCCUCAAUUUUUAGUUCUGUUUUUUAACCCUGCGAUUAAAACAUCCAUGACCGUCCAUCACUGUCAUCAUCAUCAUCAUCACCACCACCAUCAUCAUUUUAAACAGAAAAUGGUUAUAUUUGCCGAACGUUUACUUAUUUCUUUGCUCUAUUACUUCACACAGUGAGGUCUUACUUCAGAGAACAUUUAGUUCACAAGCACAUCUUUAGAAGCUCUGGUAAUAAAGGUUUGUUGGUGGCUUAAUUGUUUUAUGGUUUGUAUUGUUCUUUUUCGAAUUUUUGGAUUUUGCUAUGUUUUGCCUGAAUCACUUAUCCUCAUUCUUGAAAUAUAACUUUUGCUGGGUGUAGAGUUAAGAGUGUUUUGGGUUUUUUUUUUUUUUUUUUUGAGGAUUGUAAUUGGCUUUAUUAAGCGAUUCAUGAACUGGACAGCAUCCCAUCUAGCAAGUAGAGAGAUGCUCCCUAAUCAUUGUUUUUUAAUUUUUCCUUAGUUCUUGAAAGAUAAUAUUCUAUUGGACAUUGGCUUCUACUGUUGUUUUAACAAGUACACUGUCAAAUUUUUAUUUACUUACUUAUUUAUUUAUUUAUUUAUUUAUUUAUUUAUUUAUUAUCUGUCUUUUCUUCCUGGCUGCUUUCAUGAUCUCUUUGUCUUUGGUACCUCGUAGUUUAACUAUAAUGUUAACUACAGUGUAACUAUAAUGGAUUUUUUUUUUCUGUUUGAUAUACAUUGUCCUUUCUGUAUCUGGAGAUGCAUGUUUUCACAACAGUUCUGAAAAUUCUCAGCCAUUUUCUUCAAAUGUUGAUCCUCUGUUGUCUCUAUUCCCUCCUCUGGGACUCCAAACAGACCUGUGUUAGAUUUUCUGUUUUCACCCUCUCACACUUGUCCUCUAUUUCAUAUUCCUGUAUCUUGAUCUUUCUGUGGUAUUUUGGCUAAUUUUAUUCGGCUCUGCCUUUCAAUUCUUUAAUUCUCUCUUCAGCUGUGUGUAAUCUGCUGUUUAACUCAUUCACUAAAUUUUAAAUUUCUAGGAGUAUAGAAUUUCUUAAACUUCUUCCUGGUUCUUUUUAGCAUUUGCCUGGUCAUUUUUGACAGUCUCUUGUUGCUUGCUCAUUCUUAUGAUUCUUUUGUUUCUAUAUACAUUCCCUUGAUUUUACAGUCAACAUGUGAUCAUUUAAAUAUCUUAUGUCCUUGGAUGUCUAAGUCUUGCUAGUCUCUGAUUGAAAUGCUGAUACAUACACUUGCCUUUGGGAGAGGACCUCCUCUUGAAUUUUCUUGCUGCUCACAGCUCCAGCUCUAAGUUCAUAUUUCACUGGCUUUGGAGGUGGGGCAGGUGAUGCAGGAAGAGUUACUACCCUUAAAGAUUUCUCUUAUUUCCCAUGAGUCCAGAAUUUCAUUAUAAAGAAUAUUUUUCUCAAGAAUCAAGUUUUGUUGCAGGAGGGCUUUUGGAAGACUGGGUCCACCAUGCUCCUAGAAGUUGAUGGUAACUUCUCAAUACUCUGUCUCAGGUUGAAGUUUCAGAGUAAUGGUGGGAGUAGGACAAGUAAUUAUAACCUGUUUCUCAGGAGUCCUGGAUAAAGAAAGUUAUCAUAAUUUGGGCAGAGGCCUAGAGAAGUCACCCUGUAUAUCUGUAAGGUGCAAACAAAACCAGUUUAGGCUAGAGCUGGGUCAUACUGGCUCACAAGGGUCAACUGUGUGUAUCUCUUCCCAACUCUGAAUUCAGUGACAAGUUGGUAGCUUAAAAUUGGCAAAUGCUAUAAAUUAGGGUUGGGUUUUGUUUUGUUUUGGAGACCCAGUUGUUAGACAUUUAACACUGUAUCACUGGAAAGAACCCUCCAUAGUCUGGCCCUAGCCAUCAAUGUCGCACUCACAUGGCCAUUCUGAUAGGAACUCUCUGUUUCAUCCAUAGUGGACAGGGAAUUGUCCUGGAUAAAUGUCCUACUUCUGGCUCUCCCCACUGCUAUGAAUGACUGAGACUGGGAUGUAUACUCCUCUUCUACCCUGCCUCUUUCCCUACCCCUCCUCACACUUCUCCAACCCACAACACCAGCCCUUUGUCUCUCAUUGACUCAAGGGCAUGACUGAUCCCACUGACUUUGCCAGAGUGAAUAUCUUGUUUGAGAAGUCUUCAGAGAGGUCUCUAUCAUUCACUUUAUAAUUAAUCACAUCCUGUCUUGUGACACCUCUUCCACUAUUGCCCUGAAUGUCUAGCUGAACCAUUUACUGUUAGCAUCUGGUCUGAACUUAAGUGAAUAAAUAUAUGCAUUUCACCACAUAUGUGAAUGGUGGGCAGCAACUGCCAUCUUGGACAAAGUUCAAGAAUAGAUGUCUUGUGCCCUUGGUUCAAGUUGCUUCUGCCACCAGCUCAUUGUGUGACCUUGCAUGAAUCAUUCUGAGUGUGGCUCCCUGCCGCCACUGUGUCCUCAGUACCUCACCUAAUAUCUGUCAUAGAUAUUAGAUGAAGAAUAGCCAUUGGUUGGCCUUCACUAAAAUCCCCCAGACUUCCAGUCCUACAUUUGUUGAACUAGCCCAGAUGACCUAAAAAGAUCCUUCUACCACUCACACUCGGUCGUUUGAUGUUUCCACAACUAAACUGUAAGCCUCCUCGGGACAAGGUCUUUCUAGAGAGACAACCCCAUGUAACCAAGAGGGCACAGGCUUUGACGUUGCAUGUAUCUGUAUUUGAAUGUUAGCUCUACCACCUACUGGUUGUUUUGCCUUGAACAAAGCAUCCGAUAGAGAAAAUAAUUAAAUCUGCUUCAUGAGGUUGUUUGAAGAUUAGCUGAGGUGAUGUCUGCAGAGCACUGGCAUAGUGCCUAGCACACAGCAAAGUUCCCCUACCCUGGGGUCUGUGGAGCCUUAAUAGCACCAUUCCAUAGUGGCUGUGGGGCUGGCAUGUGUGACCUGAAAAUCCAUCAGGAUGGAUGAUCUGAAACAUUCUGUUUUCCUUAUUUUAUUUAUGUCAGAAGUUUUCCCCAGAUUUCGGAGAGACCACAACCUCCCUCCAUUUCCAAGACCACUUCAACUCCCAAAGCAGAGAGACAGUGGUCCUCAAUUCUCAUUCCUCUCCCUUCUGUAAGGCUGUCUCUCUAGGACCCUCAGCCUGCAGCCCCAGUCCCACGAGGGGGCUUCUGGGGCCUGAGCCAAGGCUGAUAGAAAUGGAGGGAUGGGGGAGCUGCCAAGGCUCUUGUGAAGCAGGGCCCCCUGUGCAAGAAUAAAGGCCAGGCACACAGGAGAGGUGAGUGGGUGGAUCUGGCAUUUAGCAGAUGAUUUCCCUUCUCCUUUUCAGGAAGUCAAAAGCUAGUUCAGAGAAACUUGAGUUUAUGGGAAUGCCAGAGGGUGAGGAAAUUUUAAAUCUUCACAAUAAAUUCAUCUAAGAGCAGGAGGUGGGGCCAGCUCCAGGAGGGUUUGACUCUGCAAAGGUCUCUAGCCUCCUGCCCCACUGGGUGCUCAAGGCCAGCACCUGGACCCUUACCCAGAAGACUUGCAGAACAUUUUCUUCCCCACCCAUUAGGUUUCCAAGGGGGAGUCUCCAAGGCACCAUCUCUCAGCCCAGACUCUCAAACAGAUACAGGGUUUGUUCCCAGAAUUUCUCUACCUUUUGAUCCCAGAUGCCUACUUAGCUGGGAGAGAAAUAGGCCUAAAACUUACCAACAAAUUCUGGCGUCCCAAAAAUAUUCUUAAAUUCAACUCCAUCUUCUAUUUCAUGAGCCAGGCCAAAGUCAAUCAGCUUGAUGUGUGGAAUGGGAAUAUUCUUGUCUAACAACAUAAUGUUUUCUGGCUGGAGAACAACAACAAAAAAAAAGUAAAGAAGGAAAGGAUGAAAAGAUGCUCCUCUACCGGACUCUCAGCUGGAGGGAGGAUUUAGGUCUUUGCAUGUUCACCCCUGCAGUGCAGAGCACAGCACCUGGCAGGCUGACGGUUGCCCUGUUAGCUGAAUCGAUUCUGAAUCUGGCGUGAAGACAAUCCAGCUGCCCCAUCCCAAACGUCCUGGCUCCCUGAAGUCUCUGUGACCUCAUAUCAGAGUGGCUGGAAACUUUCACUCAAAUGAGCUGGCUGUGGCCUCCCCCGACUUUGAAAAUAAAUAAAGAAUACA